GCAACAUGUUCCUUUAUGACCAGAAGAAGAUGGAUGGAAUUCCCCCUGCAGCCUAUAAUGGUGAACCUCUGCACGUGACUGCUGGUCUCUGUUUGCUCAACGUGAACCCAGAAAACAAACUGAUGCCAAUUGCAAUACAGUUGAAUCAACAACCAUCUGAGAAGAACCCCAUCUUCCUGCCCAGUGAUCCAGAAACGGACUGGCUGCUAGCCAAGAUGUUCAUUAAACAUGCAGAUUGCAUGGAUCACUAAACAGUCCAUCACCUCAUGAGAACUCACUGUCUGGCAGAGGUUUUCGCUCUUGCAGCUCUCCGCAGCUUCCCUGUGAUUCACCCAAUUUACAAGCUGCUGUUUCCCCACUUCCGGCACACUCUUCACAUAAACAUUAGAGCCCGC